GAAUCUUCGACCCUCUCUCCCACUCCUGCUUCCUCAAGCGCUCUUAGCGGCGCACCUCGCCUCUCCACUUCUUGCGCAUCUCGGCGGAGUUCCCGACUCCGAUUCGUGGCAGCUCGGUCCUCCUCUCCCUCUCGCUAACCCCGACAACCCCAAUGUCAUAGAAAGAAUAGCACAAGUCUUCGCCUUUCAUGGCGACCCAUUUCUCUCCAGCGACUCCUGCACGGUCCAUCCUCCAACCGAAGCUAAACCCUCCCCAAGCCCUCCUCUCCAUUCGAGAUUCUUAUGGUGGUGCACGGGUUUGGAAGAAAUGCCAGCCCAGUGCUGUUAAUAUGUGCUCGUGGAGCUCAGCUGCUAGCCUCCUGGUGGCGUUGCUAAGUUUUCUGGCAAUCCCAUUGUCGUGAAGGAGCAAUUGUUGCAAAAGAG